AUUACUAGUAUUUCGUAUUCAAUAUAGUACUAAUAUAAUAAAUAUAGUAUUAUUAGAAAUCUAUUUGUAAUGACAGAUAUGAGAUAAUAAAUAGAAAUCUGAGUAGUAUCGGUAGUAAUACUAGGGAUCCAAAAAGUAUUUCAAGUAUAUUUAUACUACUAGUAUAGUAUUACUAGUAUUUCGUAUUCAAUAUAGUACUAAUAUAAUAAAUAUAGUAUUAUUAGAAAUCUAUUUGUAAUGACAGAUAUGAGAUAGUAAAUAGAAAUCUGAGUAGUAUCGGUAGUAAUAUUAGGGCUAUACGGACUCGAACCGUAGACCUUCUCGGUAAAACAGAUCAAACUAUUCUUAUCAAAAUGAUUUGAAUUGUUUUAAAGACCCAACGUACAUUUUUUUUUGCAUUGGGCUUUUUCAUUAACUGAUAGAAAUAUCAAUUAGUCUACCAUCUUUUUUCUUUCCACAAAGAAAAAGGAAAUGACUCCCUGUGCUCUGAUUUCUUAUUUAGAUGAAAAUCUGAGAGCACUACCAAAGUUUUUCAAAGAAGAAGGUUAUCCUGACGUAGGUCUGCUUCUGGCCUGGAUCAACUUAAGUUAAAUGGACUCUCUAUCAACCUACUUAAAUAAAAAUAUAAAAUAGGAAAUGAAGAAAUCUAUUUGUAAUGACAGAUAUGAGAUAAUAAAUAGAAAUCUGAGUAGUAUCGGUAGUAAUAUUAGGGCUAUACGGACUCGAACCGUAGACCUUCUCGGUAAAACAGAUCAAACUAUUCUUAUCGAAAUGAUUUGAAUUGUUUUAAAGACCCAACGUGCAUUUUUUUUUGCAUUGGGCUUUUUCAUUAACUGAUAGAAAUAUCAAUUAGUCUACCAUCUUUUUUCUUUCCACAAAGAAAAAGGAAAUGACUCCAUGUGCUCUGAUUUCUUAUUUAGAUGAAAAUCUAAGAGCACUACCAAAGUUUUUCAAAGAAGAAGGUUAUCCUGACGUAGGUCUGCUUCUGGCCUGGAUCAACUUAAGUUAAAUGGACUCUCUAUCAACCUGCUUAAAUAAAAAUAUAAAAUAGGAAAUGAAACUUCAUACACCUUAAAGUUCAUAAGAUAGUAAGAAAAGAGAAUUUUUUUGAGGUCCCUAGACUCAUUGCCUAGCAUUGAAUAGAUUAAGUAUUCACCUUAUCAAUAUCUCAAAUCCAUUAUGGAUUCCAUUUGACGUCUAAAUCCUUUGUCAGGCUAUUGUUCUCGUAUUUUGUUCCUGGAGUAAGACAUCGAUUUAUCAAUUAAGAUCAACUCUUUUAAUUACAUGAUGGACUCCUAUGAAAAAACAUUGGCGCAUGUGUAAACGAGGUGCUCUACCUAACUGAGCUAUAGCCCUUGUGCUUUUGAUACAUACAUAUUAGAUGAU
rnacentral:lncRNA from 1 species